UUACAUUGAACCGGCUGAUUUUCUUUUCAACCUCUUCCCCCCCAAUCUUUUCUCCGUAGCCCUUAAUCAAUCAAUAACCUAUCAACCGUAUAGGCUGAGAAGGAGCAAGAAAAAUCAGAUGGAGGAACAGCGGAUCGAGCAUCACCUGCAAGUCAGAGGCCUAAUGUCUGUGACUGCGAAUCCAGGCCCGAUGUCUAUGCUGCCUGAACUGCUGAUUUCCUCAAGCGUCUUGUGUGUGUUGCUCUCGAUUUCCUGCAUCUGAAGAAUUUCUUGUGUCUGUGGUCAGGACUUCAUGGAAUCUCACAGCUCAGGAAAGUUUCCAUCAAGGCUUUGGCAGCUGCACAAUCACCAGACUUCCUACAAGUAUUUCAGAAACCUCUGAAAAAGAAUCGGAUGGCAGAGGGGAAGAAGGUGUUACUGAAUCGCUGAGUGUGUGCCUUCAGGCUUCUGUACCUACCUCAAGGUAACAAUGAAAAGAGGGCAUGUUUGGGGUGGUCUCUCCUUAGUCACACUUCCA